rnacentral:rRNA from 1 species
UACGUAGGAGACGAGCGUUGUCCGGAGUUACUGGGCGUAAAGCGUGCGCAGGCGGUUUUGUAAGUCUGUCGUGAAAUCCCCGGGCUCAACCUGGGAAUUGCGAUGGAGACUGCAAGGCUAGAAUCUGGCAGAGGGGGGUAGAAUUCCACGUGUAGCAGUGAAAUGCGUAGAGAUGUGGAGGAACACCGAUGGCGAAGGCAGCCCCCUGGGUCAAGAUUGACGCUCAUGCACGAAAGCGUGGGGAGCAAACAGGG